rnacentral:rRNA from 1 species
AGAGUUUGAUCCUGGCUCAGGAUGAACGCUAGCGGCAGGCCUAAUACAUGCAAGACGAACGGUAAUUUGAGUAGCAAUACUUGAACUAGAGUGUCGUAAGGGUGCGUAACACGUAUGCAAUCUGCCCAAAACAGGGGCAUAGCUCGCCGAAAGGCGGAUUAACUCCCCAUAAUAUCAUUGGCUGGCAUCAGUUGGUGAUUAAAAUCGCAAGAUGGUUUUGGAUGAGCAUGCGGAUGAUUAGCUAGUUGGUAGUGUAACGGACUACCAAGGCAAUGAUCAAUAGGGGAACUGAGAGGUUGAUCCCCCACACUGGCACUGAGAUACGGGCCAGACUCCUACGGGAGGCAGCAGUAGGGAAUAUUGGACAAUGGGUGCAAGCCUGAUCCAGCCAUGCCGCGUGCAGGAAGAAGGCUUUCUGAGUUGUAAACUGCUUUUGCCAGGGGAUAAAAAGUCCCUGCGGGGAAAAUUGAAGGUACCUGGUGAAUAAGCCACGGCUAACUACGUGCCAGCAGCCGCGGUAAUACGUAGGUGGCAAGCGUUGUCCGGAUUUAUUGGGUUUAAAGGGUGCGUAGGCGGUUAAUUAAGUCAGUGGUGAAAUACUUCAGCUCAACUGGAGAGGUGCCAUUGAUACUGGUUGACUUGAGUACUGAUGAGGUAGGCGGAAUGGACGGUGUAGCGGUGAAAUGCUUAGAUAUCGUCCAGAACACCGAUAGCGAAGGCAGCUUACUAAGGAGUAACUGACGCUGAGGCACGAAAGUGUGGGGAUCAAACAGGAUUAGAUACCCUAGUAGUCC